rnacentral:rRNA from 1 species
UUCAGCAGCCAUAUCACCCUGCAGCCCAAGACUGGUUGCCUACUGAAGCUAAGCAGGGUUGAGCCUGGUCAGUACCUGGAUGGGAGACCUCCUGGGGAAACUAGGUUGCUGCUGGAA